GAUGAAGAACGUAGCGAAAUGCGAUAAGUAGUGUGAAUUGCAGAAUUCAGUGAAUCAUCGAAUCUUUGAACGCACAUUGCGCCCCUUGGUAUUCUAUGGGGCAUGCCUGUUCGAGCGUCAUUUGUACCUUCAAGCUCUGCUUGGUGUUGGGUGUUUGUCUCGCCUCUGCGUGUAGACUCGCCUCAAAACAAUUGGCAGCCGGCGUAUUGAUUUCGGAGCGCAGUACAUCUCGCGCUUUGCACUCAUAACGACGACGUCCAAAAGUACAUUUUUACACUCUUGACCUCGGAUCAGGUAGGGAUACCCGCUGAACUUAAGCAUAUCAAUAAGCGGAGGA
rnacentral:misc_RNA from 1 species